rnacentral:rRNA from 1 species
GACAGAGGUCCCGAGCGUUGUUCGGAUUCAUUGGGCGUAAAGGGUGUGUAGGAGGCCAGGUAAGUCAGGUGUGAAAUCUCAGAGCUUAACUCUGAAACUGCGCUUGAUACUGCUUGGCUAGAGUGUGGCAGAGGGGGGGUGGAAUUCCACGUGUAGCAGUGAAAUGCGUAGAGAUGUGGAGGAACACCGAUGGCGAAGGCAGCCCCCUGGGUUAACACUGACGCUCAGGCACGAAAGCGUGGGGAGCAAACAGG